rnacentral:rRNA from 1 species
UACGGGGGGGGCAAGCGUUGUUCGGAAUUACUGGGCGUAAAGGGCUCGUAGGCGGCCAACUAAGUCAGACGUGAAAUCCCUCGGCUUAACCGGGGAACUGCGUCUGAUACUGGAUGGCUUGAGAUUGGGAGAGGGAUGCGGAAUUCCAGGUGUAGCGGUGAAAUGCGCAGAUAUCGGGAAGAACACCCGUGGCUAAGGCGGCUCUCUAGUACGGUACUGACGCUGAGACGCGAAAGCGUGGGGAGCGAACAGG